GGGUUGUGAGGUUAAGCGACUAAGCGUACACGGUGGAUGCCCUGGCAGUCAGAGGCGAUGAAGGACGUGCUAAUCUGCGAAAAGCGCCGGCGAGGUGAUAUGAACCUUUGACCCGGCGAUGUCCGAAUGGGGAAACCCAGUGCAAUCCGUUGCACUAUCGUUAACUGAAUACAUAGGUUAACGAGGCGAACCGGGGGAACUGAAACAUCUAAGUACCCCGAGGAAAAGAAAUCAACCGAGAUUCCCCCAGUAGCGGCGAGCGAACGGGGAGCAGCCCGGAGUCUGAAUCAGCUUGUGUGUUAGUGGAACGGUCUGGAAAGUCCGACGGUACAGGGUGAUAGUCCCGUACACGAAAGCACACUUGCUGUGAACUCGAAGAGUAGGGCGGGACACGUGGUAUCCUGUCUGAAUAUGGGGGGACCAUCCUCCAAGGCUAAAUACUCCUGACUGACCGAUAGUGAACCAGUACCGUGAGGGAAAGGCGAAAAGAACCCCGGCGAGGGGAGUGAAAAAGAACCUGAAACCGUGUACGUACAAGCAGUGGGAGCCUCUUUAUGGGGUGACUGCGUACCUUUUGUAUAAUGGGUCAGCGACUUAUAUUCUGUAGCAAGGUUAACCGUAUAGGGGAGCCGAAGGGAAACCGAGUCUUAACUGGGCGUUAAGUUGCAGGGUAUAGACCCGAAACCCGGUGAUCUAGCCAUGGGCAGGUUGAAGGUUGGGUAACACUAACUGGAGGACCGAACCGACUAAUGUUGAAAAAUUAGCGGAUGACCUGUGGCUGGGGGUGAAAGGCCAAUCAAACCGGGAGAUAGCUGGUUCUCCCCGAAAGCUAUUUAGGUAGCGCCUCGUGAACUCAUCUUCGGGGGUAGAGCACUGUUUCGGCUAGGGGGCCAUCCCGGCUUACCAACCCGAUGCAAACUACGAAUACCGAAGAAUGUUAUCACGGGAGACACACGGCGGGUGCUAACGUCCGUCGUGAAGAGGGAAACAACCCAGACCGCCAGCUAAGGUCCCAAAGUCAUGGUUAAGUGGGAAACGAUGUGGGAAGGCACAGACAGCCAGGAUGUUGGCUUAGAAGCAGCCAUCAUUUAAAGAAAGCGUAAUAGCUCACUGGUCGAGUCGGCCUGCGCGGAAGAUGUAACGGGGCUAAACCAUGCACCGAAGCUGCGGCAGCGACGCUUAUGCGUUGUUGGGUAGGGGAGCGUUCUGUAAGCCGUUGAAGGUGUCCUGUGAGGGGUGCUGGAGGUAUCAGAAGUGCGAAUGCUGACAUAAGUAACGAUAAAGCGGGUGAAAAGCCCGCUCGCCGGAAGACCAAGGGUUCCUGUCCAACGUUAAUCGGGGCAGGGUGAGUCGACCCCUAAGGCGAGGCCGAAAGGCGUAGUCGAUGGGAAACAGGUUAAUAUUCCUGUACUUGGUGUUACUGCGAAGGGGGGACGGAGAAGGCUAUGUCAGCCGGGCGACGGUUGUCCCGGUUUAAGCAUGUAGGCGGAGGUUCCAGGUAAAUCCGGUACCUUAUUAACGCUGAGGUGUGAUGACGAGGCACUACGGUGCUGAAGUGAUAAAUGCCCUGCUUCCAGGAAAAGCCUCUAAGCAUCAGGUAACACGAAAUCGUACCCCAAACCGACACAGGUGGUCAGGUAGAGAAUACCAAGGCGCUUGAGAGAACUCGGGUGAAGGAACUAGGCAAAAUGGUGCCGUAACUUCGGGAGAAGGCACGCUGAUAUGUAGGUGAAGUCCCUGCGGACGGAGCUGAAAUCAGUCGAAGAUACCAGCUGGCUGCAACUGUUUAUUAAAAACACAGCACUGUGCAAACACGAAAGUGGACGUAUACGGUGUGACGCCUGCCCGGUGCCGGAAGGUUAAUUGAUGGGGUUAGCGGCAACGCGAAGCUCUUGAUCGAAGCCCCGGUAAACGGCGGCCGUAACUAUAACGGUCCUAAGGUAGCGAAAUUCCUUGUCGGGUAAGUUCCGACCUGCACGAAUGGCGUAAUGAUGGCCAGGCUGUCUCCACCCGAGACUCAGUGAAAUUGAACUCGCUGUGAAGAUGCAGUGUACCCGCGGCAAGACGGAAAGACCCCGUGAACCUUUACUAUAGCUUGACACUGAACACUGGUCCUUGAUGUGUAGGAUAGGUGGGAGGCUUUGAAGCGUGGACGCCAGUCUGCGUGGAGCCAACCUUGAAAUACCACCCUUUAAUGGCUGGUGUUCUAACGUAGACCCGUAAUCCGGGUUGCGGACAGUGUCUGGUGGGUAGUUUGACUGGGGCGGUCUCCUCCCAAAGAGUAACGGAGGAGCACGAAGGUUGGCUAAUCCUGGUCGGACAUCAGGAGGUUAGUGCAAUGGCAUAAGCCAGCUUGACUGCGAGCGUGACGGCGCGAGCAGGUGCGAAAGCAGGUCAUAGUGAUCCGGUGGUUCUGAAUGGAAGGGCCAUCGCUCAACGGAUAAAAGGUACUCCGGGGAUAACAGGCUGAUACCGCCCAAGAGUUCAUAUCGACGGCGGUGUUUGGCACCUCGAUGUCGGCUCAUCACAUCCUGGGGCUGAAGUAGGUCCCAAGGGUAUGGCUGUUCGCCAUUUAAAGUGGUACGCGAGCUGGGUUUAGAACGUCGUGAGACAGUUCGGUCCCUAUCUGCCGUGGGCGCUGGAGAAUUGAGGGGGGCUGCUCCUAGUACGAGAGGACCGGAGUGGACGCAUCACUGGUGUUCGGGUUGUCAUGCCAAUGGCACUGCCCGGUAGCUAAAUGCGGAAGAGAUAAGUGCUGAAAGCAUCUAAGCACGAAACUUGCCCCGAGAUGAGUUCUCCCU
rnacentral:rRNA from 1 species